CAUUAAAGUGGUGGCGUCUCUGGGAGAUUCAAUCACUGCCGGCUUUGGUGCAAAAGCUGAAAACCUUCUGCAGUUAGCGGAUGAGGAGCGAGGGGUUUCCUGGAGCAUUGGUGGAGAUGAUACUUUGGAGACUGUCACCACAUUGCCAAACAUUCUUAAGAAGUUCAAUCCUAAUGUUUUCGGCUUCUCAAAGGGGAAAAGUAAACGACCCAAUGGCUUCAAUAUGGCAGUGAGUGGUGCCAAAGCAAAUAAUAUACCAGCA
rnacentral:lncRNA from 1 species